UACGGAGGGUGCAAGCGUUAUCCGGAUUCACUGGGUUUAAAGGGUGCGUAGGUGGGCUGGUAAGUCAGUGGUGAAAUCUCCAGGCUUAACUUGGAAACUGCCAUUGAUACUAUCAGUCUUGAAUACCGUGGAGGUCAGCGGAAUAUGUCAUGUAGCGGUGAAAUGCUUAGAUAUGACAUAGAACACCAAUUGCGAAGGCAGCUGGCUACACGAAUAUUGACACUGAUGCACGAAAGCGUGGGGAUAAACAGG
rnacentral:rRNA from 1 species